GACGAACGCUGGCGGCGUGCUUAACACAUGCAAGUCGAACGAAGUGGCGAACGGGUGAGUAACGCGUAAUCAAACUGCCCUUCAGAGGGGGACAACAGUUGGAAACGUCUGCUAAUACCGCAUACUGAUAGGGGGGAUUGCGUCUGAUUAGCUAGUUGAAGGGGUAACGGCCAACCAAGGCGAUGAUCAGUAGGCGGUCGGAGAAGAUGAACGGCCACAUUGGGACUUAGCAACGGCCCAGACUCCUACGGGAGGCAGCAGUGGGGAAUCUUCCGAAAUGGACGAAAGUCUGACGGAGCAACGCCGCGUGAGUGAUGACGGCCUUCGGGUUGUAAAGCUCUGUUAAUCGUGAAGCGGUACCGGAAUAGAAAGCCACGGCUAACUACGUGCCAGCAGCCGCGGUAAUUC
rnacentral:rRNA from 1 species